CACAUUGUCAUUAAAAUCAGACGUCCGCCCUCUGUUUACUGUCCCCUUUCUUUCCUCCAUUCUCAGAUACUGUUUCAACAGCUACUCCAUAACUCGAGAAUGAUAUUUGGACUCACUUUCUCUUCAAUAGUCCUGGACAACUGCACUUCAAUUUAAAACACAUUGCAGCUCAACUCUACUACUAGAUAGUCUUUGAAGGUUCAUAGUGCUUUUCUGACAGGCGGAGAUAGCAAAAGUUUUCAACCUGCACAUUUAACCAUCUGGUCACUUUCAGGAUCAGUGGAAACACUCCUUGUAUACAUCAUUGUCGUGGAACCCAAUAUGUCAUCUCCAAAACCACAUGCUUUGAAGAACAACCU
rnacentral:misc_RNA from 1 species